rnacentral:misc_RNA from 1 species
UAUCUUUUCUCUCAUCGGUCUAAAUAUAUUUAUUGUUACUUGUUCUAAUAUGAAUGGAAACAGUGUUUGAACCCUCACCCAAUUUUUGUUGUUUAUUUUUGUGUUAUUUAGGCUGCAUGUGAAGGAAGUUCUCCUUGUACCACUUUUUGAUGUUGGUGUUCUUCAAAUAUUCUAUGUCAACAUCUCCACAAUAAUCAUUUUAUAUUUCUCUGUUUCGUGUACAGCUCGGACUAGUAGAGAAGAACAUCAUAAAUUAUGACUUUAAUCUGGUCGUAUCAGAGCCCAGUGAUCCCAACACAAAUAGCACUACUCUUUUCUCGGAUGAUACCGAUGAUAAGUCAUGGAAGUGUGUUAAUCCAGAAAUAUGUCCCUCUACUAUGCUGCAAGAAGAAGCAAGAUGCAAGGUGGAAAAGCAAGUUCUUUUGAAGUUACUUUUGAAAGCGUUUCUAGCACAUUCAUGUAAUCACCAAAAUUUAAGUUGCUAAUAUCAUUGAUGAAUGCUAUCUCAUGACUUGUUCUUUCGGGA